rnacentral:rRNA from 1 species
AGAGUUGAUUAUGGCUCAGACGAACGCUGGCGGCAUGGAUUAGGCAUGCAAGUCGAACGAAGUAGCAAUACUUAGUGGCGCAAGGGUGAGGAACGCGUGAGUGACCUACCCGCAAGUUUGGAACAGCUCCUGGAAACGGGAAUUAAUACCGGAUGUGAUCAAUGGACUGCAUGGUUUAUUGAUUAAAGCAGUAAUGCGCUUGCGGAUGGGCUCGCGUCCCAUUAGCUAGUUGGUGAGGUAACGGCCCACCAAGGCCAUGAUGGGUAGCUGGUCUGAGAGGACGACCAGCCACACUGGGACUGAGAACUGCCCAGACUCCUACGGGAGGCUGCAGUCGAGAAUUUUGGGCAAUGGACGAAAGUCUUGACCCAGCAAUGCCGCGUGCGGGAUGAAGGUCUUCGGAUUGUAAACCGCUGUUUGGAGGGACGAAAAUUGACGGUACUUCCAGAGAAAGCCACGGCUAACUACGUGCCAGCCGCCGC